CCUGAAGACAUGAGAGCCCUUGCUCUGUGUCAUACAGUUCCAGGCCAGGCCGCUACCUUCUGCACACACAGACAAAACAGCAUGAGAUGGGAAGUCCACAUGGAUAAACAUUUACUAUGCCUUCUGAUAGACAACCCUGACACCUGCUCCCAGGGGAGACCCUCCGCCAAGUCGGCGCACUGUUCCUUGAGAGACUUCCCUUACUUUAUCAGCCCAUAAAGGAUUGUCACAGUGAUGGAGGAGAAAACGUAGAAUACCUGUGCCCAAACGCUCUAUGUGAAUUUUCUGGACACUCUCCUGCUGUAUUCUCACAUUGGC